AAUUUCAUAAAACAUUAUUAAAGUCAGUAAUUAAAUGUCUGGGCGUUUUUUUAUUAUUAUUAUUAUUGCAUAAUUUGUACAUAAAGAACUUCUGUAAAGACAUUUUGCCUCUUUUUGUCCUACACUCCCCACCUCUUUCCUAACUUGCAGCUGUUUGUAACAACAGUCAAAUAAAGUCUUCAGUCUAAUCAAUGAAAAUAGAUAAGAACUUUUAUUUUUGUCACCUCCUCCCAAAAACUGACACAGUUGUUCUGGUCCAGCCAAGUGUUUAUAGCAAAUAUUUUGUAUAUAUGAAUAUGUUCAUACGUUUAAAUUUGCUUUAGAAAAAUUUCUUUUUUUGUAUUUUUUUCAAAAUAAAAGAAAUCUUAGCAGUUGCAGUAAUGCAGUCACUGUAUCGAUCCAUUGUUGUGAAGAAAGAGCUGAGUCAAAAGGUAACGGGGCAGGAGGAGCUUGGAUUACAGAUGCAGGUUUUGAGUCUGAAGAAAAGCCAGUUGAGGUGGUUUGAUCAUCUCAUCCAGAUGCCUCCUGAGGAGAUUUUAGGCAGGAAGAAGCCCCAGUGAAGACCAAGGAGAGAACUGUGACUGGUCUGUAGUUGAUGAAGUUUCGGUGGAGAAGAAGCCCCAGACAUCUCUGCCUAGACUCCUGCCCCACAACCCAUAUUUUAAUAAGCAGGAUGAAUUCAUGUCAUUAAUCUUGUUUAUAUGUAUUCUUGAACCAGUAUUAAAUUCUAAGAAUACAUUUUUAGUAAAAUACCAGGAUUUCCAAUAGUUUUGAAGGAACUAAAUAGUGCUUAUAAGCAGAAUAUAUAUAUGUACACACAUGUAAUGUGUAUGACUAGUGAAGAUAUGUGGAAAUGAAAGCAGAAAAAUGUCCAAGUGUGUUGUGAAGCCGUUCAGAACCACGUGUUUGGUGUUGAGAGGUUGUGAUCUCUGUUUUAAUCUUCAGGAAUUUGAGGUACUUUUCUGAAAGAACUGGGUGUUGUUGGGGUAACUGAGGUCCUUUUACCAUCCGGCACUGUUACAGUGGAGGUCAGGGAGACAGAUGGAGAUGAUGUGCACUCAGCUGAUAGCUCUACUUUUUGCAGAUCCUGAUGCUGCUUCCAAACCAGGUUUUACGAUGAUUCGUGUCAGGGAGGAAUAAAACUUCUUUAGCACUUUGGGGGCCUUCUAAAUUCUAGAAUGGACACUGCUAGGCUUUCGUUACCAUAGUGACGAUGUUAAAAGACCCAUAAUAGGGCUCGUCUGAUGAAAACAAAUGAGUUACUUGAAGCUGUCUCUCUCUACUUGGCUCCUUUAGGUGGUUUAUGACUCGAUUUGUGUUGCUUUUGUCUUGUGUUGAAGUUUUUCUACUGGCACUGAUUCUCCAGAUUCCUGAUCUCCCUCUGCCAGGCUGUGCCGUUGCUGUUGGUGAUCAGUGUCCUCGGCGAAUUGAUGAGAACUCCACUUUAUCUGGCCUUUUUCUUCCAUUUGGGAAAUGUUGCAGAAUGUUGACAUCUUAGCGUCAUCAGAUCUACUUUUGCAUCCGACAAGACGAGACUCAACUUUAAUUGAUCUCACAGCAGUGAAAUUGAUUUGUUUCUAUAUCUCAAAAACUAAAAUAAUAAUAAAAUAUAACAGAAAUAAAACAAA